rnacentral:lncRNA from 1 species
AUGGUCAAACCUGCUCGCCAGCCGGCCGGGAGGUUUGCUGGCCUGGGCGACAGGGCCACCAGGGCAAGAUGGGCGAGAGCGCAUCCACGCAGACCCGCAUCCUCCCUUCCAUCGGCCCCACCUGGGGCUGGGCGGCAGCAAAUGCCGCCCUCCGCCUCCCGAGCAGGAGACAGCAGGAGACGGGCUCACUCACCUCUCGUCCCUGUCACCGUCACCGUCACCGGCAAACAAAGGCGAGCGCUCCCGGUGCGCGGCACUCCUGGCCCCCGGGCCUUCAGAGCCUCGCGGGGAGAGGCUGGCGGGGACUCGGCAUCCCGGGAAGGUCACCCUGGGCGACGCGGCGGCCGAGCUCACCCGUGCAGGGCGGUGCAGCUGGGUCUGGGUCAGCGGUGGGCUCCCGCUGGCCGGGCGGUGGCCCGUGUCAUCGCUGCCCGCGGCCUGCCUCCGAGGGUUCGCUGGGCGCACAGCGGGCGGGCGAGGCUGGCUUCUCGGGGACAGUUACCGCCGCUGCUUUGUGUGCAGGGGCGGGAGGCGGGGGCAGGCGGCGGAGGAGCAGGCCCGGCCGCUCGGCUCCUCCCCGUUGGCGGGGGACGGGCCUCUCCGCAGCCGCCAGGGCAGGUGCCGCGCUCGUGUCUGGUGGCGCAUCACAGAUGUGAGGACGGAACAGGGGCAGCAGACGACAGGGACGCAGGGGCAGGCCCCACCCCAGCUUCUCCCUUCAAGGAGCCGCGCGGGGACUGGGGCUGGGGCAGCAGCCUCUCAGACACACUGCCCGGCCGCCUCGGGCGCAGCGCCCCCUGCAGUUGUGCGCCGGGGAGCCGCAGCCGGGAGGGAGCCGCCAGCCCGGGGACAGUGGGGCUGAGCCCCGUCCUGCUCCCGGGUCCGCGCCAGGCCUCAUUCCCCCGGUCCGGGCAAUGGGACGCUCCAGUGUCACCUCCAGGACCUCGUGAGAGGAGGGUAGACCAGGCUGCGCACGCGGAGGGAGCCUCUAUCAGUGUCUCUUCCAAAUGCCGCCCCCCCACCUGGGCCCUGUAA